UACGUAGGGUGCAAGCGUUAAUCGGAAUUACUGGGCGUAAAGCGUGCGCAGGCGGUUGUGCAAGACAGAUGUGAAACCCCCGGGCUCAACCUGGGAACUGCAUUUGUGACUGCACGGCUUGAGUGCGGCAGAGGGGGAUGGAAUUCCGCGUGUAGCAGCGAAAUGCGUAGAUAUGCGGAGGAACACCGAUGGCGAAGGCAAUCCCCUGGGCCUGCACUGACGCUCAUGCACGAAAGCGUGGGGAGCGAACAGG
rnacentral:rRNA from 1 species